rnacentral:lncRNA from 1 species
GGUACUUGUUCUGGGGUGGCACAUUGAAGACCUUCUCCUUCCUAGGCAGGUUCUGGUUUCUGAAAUACUGUGGUUUCCCCUCAAAAAUCUUUCCACCAGAGGACUUUCUCUUGGCCAUAAAGGAGAUGGUUCCAUUGAGACACAGAAGGGGCAUUGCAAUGUGGGACCCUUCUCCUGGACAUGGUGUUUCCUAUUCCAAGGCCAUGGCUCAGAUGUGAUGAUAAGGUUGGGUAUGGAGGGGUGCAUGUCACCCACUGGAAAAACUCCCUGCUUCCACAUGCACAGAGCUCUCCAUGACCCAUGGUUUUCUUCUCAGCAGAGGAUUUUAUGCUUGUAACUAGAUGGGUACAGAUAGGCAAGUCCUAGCUGAAAGCAAUCAGAUAUUCUUUUGCAGACUGAUUUUCCUUAAUCUUUCUUCUGUGUUUCAGAGUUGAUGGAAAUCCUUUGGAUUCACCUAGAAAAAACAUCUCUGAUGUUUCAAACAGCAGUAAUUAGAAGACAGAAAUGCCUUGGAUGCUGUGGGUUUUAUUUUAUCUGCUUACAAGCCAGCAAGUCUUCCAGGCAAGUGGUGCAUGGAUAAAUACAGACCACUUCACAGGAGAGACAAUUCCCCAGACAUUGUUGACAAGGGUGCACUGCAAGGAGGCAGUGGAAGAUUGUGCAGCACCUGCAAGGACCUAGUCCCCUUCUGUGUGGGAUGUGUUAGCAGCUGAAGAGCUGAGCUCCUGCUUUUCUUUAUGUGCACUCCUGACUCAGCCAAACUCUGUUACAAGCACAGCUGCACUCAAGAGAAGAAUAUUUUAUAAAGAGAGUUCAAAAUGGCUCUUCUGCUGUGGUAAGUUUUCAGCUACCACCUCUGAAGCACAUCCUUCCUUCCUGAUGGCCACAUCAAAUGGGUUUGCAAAGACACCGUGGAAAGGAGACCCAGAUAUGUGGUGCUCGAUGGUCU